ensembl:lncRNA
UGAAGGGGUAGCGGCAGAUGUACAGUUGACAGAGGAGCAGGAUCAGUGGUACAUGAUGGCGGAGGAGUCCGUCCCGCAUGUGUCACUGGCCCUGCAUCCUAAACACCAAGCAAAAGACCUGGGGCCCAUGGGUUGGAUGUGACAUUGAAUGGUUUGUGGCCCACAGGGGUGUUGGAGGAGUCAGGUUCCGCGUGGAACACACCUAUCCUCCCGGUAGAAAAGAAAGGGACAGGGAAAUACCGUAUGGCCCAUGAUCUCAGAGCUAUUAACAACAUUUUACUCACACCCACUAUACCGGUGCCUAACCCGUAUGUAGCACUCACUAAUUUGACCCCGGAUCAAAAAUGGUUCACCUGCAUUGACCUGGCUAACGCUUUUUUCUGUCUCCCACUAGCAGAGGAACUUCGUAAUAUUUUUUCUUUCACACAUAGGGGUCGGCAAUGGCGAUACACGAGACUACCACAGGGGUUUGCGCUUUCCCCUGGCAUAUUCAACCAGGUACUGAGAGAAGCGCUGCAGGGAUGCUGCCUGCCGACAGGGGUGCCUGUUCGUUUCAGAAUUCACCAAUAGAGUCGGAGAACGGAGGGACCUGCACCCGCUGGACCAGAACCUGCCCCAGGCGGAGUGGGUGUUGCUGAAGGUCAUGAAGCGAAAUUGGUCGGAGCCAAGGUGGACGGGUCCUCAUCAGGUGGUGGAGAGAACGAGUCAUGCGGUCCGCCUGAGGGACAAAGGAGAGACCUGCUACCAUUGGAGCCAGUGUACACCAGCGCAGGAGCCAGGGAGGUCGCUAACGGACCUCAUCCAAACCGGGAAGGAGGAGCUUUCCCCAGUGUGGACGGAAGGAGGACCAGCACCAGCCGGACCGGUGCCAGGAGCGGACCCCAGGACACGGCGGGACUACGAGCGAGUGAAGGAGACAAAGCACGGCGUCAGGGGAAUAGACUCUUAGGGGAAGGAACUGAAGAAUACUGUAACAAAAGGGGGUAUAGGACACCGAGUGGCUACCACUCAUACCAAGAUGACAGGGUUACAGAGAAAGGUCUGGGGAAAUGAUAAUAGAAUUAAGUGGUACAUGGACAUGGACAAUAAUGAUGUGUGUUGUAUGUUGUUACAGGUUUCCCAGGUUGGCAUCGGGUCUUCAUUCCCCCAGCGAAGAGGUUCGCGACCCCACCUGAGGACACCUGUUUGAGGAAAUUAGGGGGUAUUGAAUUGGACUAUGUCAAGGGGUCACAUAUACGAGCACUCUGGGAUAGAUAAUCCACUGGAGGAGUGGCUGACCUCGAUGUUCGGCCAGUGGAAAGGUUUGAUAAUGUCUGUUCUUUUAUCGCUUGCUUCAUGUGGUGCUAUAAUGGUCACUUGUGGGUGUUGUUGUAUCCCAUGCAUAAGAGGGCUUGCCAUGAGAGUGAUAUCUCCAGCCAUUGAGAAGGCUCCAGGAUCGCCACCAGGGAUGCUGAUGCCUCUACUGGAGCAGCAUGACCCGGGAGAACUGGAGCUUGGCGAAUAGGGGUGAUCUCUCUGGGGAGAGAUCAAAAGGGGGAAUUGUAGAUGUAUUGAUUGUAUGAGUUAGUGAACUGUUGUAAGCUGUUGUAACCAAUUAAACAAAAUAUUAAUUGUUUGUAAUAUGAGCUGAAACUGAAGGAGCAAGUAGGAGAAUAGGAAACCCUGUUCAAGCGGUUGCCGGGGAGAGAAAGAUUUAGUAUGUCUGUCUUGUGAGAAACAGGUCACAGGUCAGAGACACACACACAUAGUCGGACAGACAACACAGAAACCACAAGGGGGGCAAGGGGAUACUUGCAGUUAUCCUAUAAGGAAUAGAACUAGGAUUGGGCCAAUGGCACACUUGCUUUGUGAACUUAACAACUCUAUCUUUUGGGGGUAGUGGAAGUAUAAAAUGAUCUGUUGACUGUUGAUCCUUAGACAUUGUGCGGCGAACCUUGUCUCCAAAAGCUUUUGUAAUAAACGGA